CAGUCGCCACGGUAAUACAGAGGAUGCAAGCGUUAUCCGGAAUGAUUGGGCGUAAAGGGCUCGCAGGCGGUUUCUUAAGUCUGAUGUGAAAGCCCCCGGCUCAACCGGGGAGGGUCAUUGGAAACUGGGAAACUUGAGUGCAGAAGAGGAGAGUGGAAUUCCACGUGUAGCGGUGAAAUGCGUAGAGAUGUGGAGGAACACCAGUGGCGAAGGCGACUCUCUGGUCUGUAACUGACGCUGAGGAGCGAAAGCGUGGGGAGCGAACAGGAUUAGAGACCCCCGUAGUCCCUGUCUCUUAUAU
rnacentral:rRNA from 1 species